rnacentral:rRNA from 1 species
AUUGAACGCUGGCGGCAGGCCUAACACAUGCAAGUCGAGCGGAGAGGCGGACGGGUGAGUAAUGCCUAGGAAUCUGCCUGGUAGUGGGGGAUAACGUACGGAAACGGGCGCUAAUAACGCCUACUAUCGGAUGAGCCUAGGUCGGAUUAGCUAGUGGGUUGGGUAAAGGCCUACCAAGGCGACGAUCCGUAACUGGUCUGCUAGGAUGAUCAGUCACACUGGAACUGAGACACGGUCCAGACUCCUACGGUAGGCAGCAGUGGGGAAUAUUGGACAAUGGGCGCAAGCCUGAUCCAGCCAUGCCGCGUGUGUGAAGAAGGUCUUCGGAUUGUAAAGCACUUUAAGUUGUGAGGCGUUACCAACAGAAUAAGCACCGGCUAACUUCGGGCCAGCAGCCGCGGUAAUUC